CGAAUGAAAGAAUUGAACCAUGAUAAAACGCGACAUGCACUACAAAUUGAAGGUAUGAAAUUAAGUUAAAUGGAAGCUCGUUUAUUCACCAUAUGAUGCUCGUUAUGAGGUAAUCAUAUAGGCUAGAUACCGUGAGUUAACGAGGUCGUUUACAUGCACGUGAGUGCACGGAUAUCGGUUAAUUAUUCAAAUUACUGAAAAACACGGAGAAAACCGCAACCGCAUUGCCAUGUGUUUUUCCAAGAUGUAUGCAAACAGGGGAAAUAUCACCAAACCAACAAUUCAUUUUACCAAAACCUCACUAUAUAUCAUCAUUUGUAUGCACAGAUUGCUGGAUUGGAUGCAUUGUGUGUUGUAAGCUUUUCGUGGCGCUAGAUGUCAGACAGAUGCAAAUGGCAAAUACAUACGAAAGUGUAAAACGUGUAUGGCGAACAUUUGUUUUUCUGUCAUUAUAGAUGCUAGUUUGGUGAAAGUACACACUGAGUGCUUCAAAUCAUUCAGAAGAGAUGCUGUUUUUAAGGGCAGUUUAUUAAAGAAGACCUGACAUGGAUGACUUCCAAUGAGAAACGACUGCUAAUACUUAUAUAAAUUCAUUACAGAAGGACCCUACCAGACUAUAUUUGAAUACGGCAUACCCAUGAAUUCUGAACUGUUAUUCCUUAACCCAGUUUGGAGGAUAAGAGCUUACCAACUAGUUAUAAAUAUGCUGAGGUGAUGUAUUGCAAAAUAGCCAACAUACAACAAUUAAAGGAUAAUUGCAGACUACAUCCUGAUGAAGAUAUGGACGACCCUCUGUCUGGUCAACAAUAGUUUAAAUAUGG